AGAGUUUGAUCCUGGCUCAGGACGAACGCUGGCGGCGUGGAUUAGGCAUGCAAGUCGAACGGUAGGGAACUUUCGGGUUCCUGAGAGUGGCGAACGGGUGAGUAACACGUAGGUAAUCUACCCUCAAAUCGGGGACAACCCAGGGAAACUUGGGCUAAUACCGGAUGCGUGCGGCACCUAAAUGAUCCUGGUUGGAAUGGGAGAGAUUCUGUUUUAACUGGGUGGGUUAUUUAGGUGCCGUAUAAAAGGUGGCUGGAAACAGCUGUUGUUUGGGGAUGAGCCUGCGCUCUAUUAGUUAGUUGGUGGGGUAAUGGCCUACCAAGGCGAUGAUAGAUAGGCGGCCUUAACGGGUGGUCGCCCACACUGGGAUUGAGAUACGGCCCAGACUCCUACGGGAGGCAGCAGUCGAGAAUAGUCUACAAUGGACGAAAGUCUGAUAGUGCGACGCCGCGUGAACGAGGAAGCCCUUCGGGGUGUAAAGUUCUUUUAUAUGUGAGCAAUGCUUUAUAUGUGAAUAGCAUAUAGGGAGAGAUAUUAGCAUAUGAAUAAGCAACGGCUAACUCCGUGCCAGCAGCCGCGGUAACACGGGGGUUGCAAGCGUUGUCCGGAAUUACUAGGCGUAAAGGGCAGGUAGGCGGAUACAUAAGUUUGAUGUUAAAGGCAGCGGCUCACCCGCUGUACGGCAUUAGAUACUGUGUAUCUGGAAUGCGGUUGGGGAAGACAGAAUUCCUGGUGUAGCGGUGGAAUGCGCAGAGAUCAGGAGGAACACCAAUGGCGAAGGCAGGCAUCUGGCCAUGUACUGACGCUGAGACGCGAAGGUGCGGGGAGCAAACAGGUUUAGAUACCCUGGUAGUCCGCACAGUAAACGAUGUGCACCAGGUGGCGGGGGGUCGACCCCCGGUACCGUAGCCAACGCAUUAAGUGCACCGCCUGGGGAGUAUGCUCGCAAGGGUGAAACUCAAAGGAAAUUGACG
rnacentral:rRNA from 1 species